GAUGAACGCUAGCGGCAGGCUUAAUACAUGCAAGUCGAGGGACAGCACAGGUAGCAAUACUGGGUGGUAACCGGCAAACGGGUGCGGAACACGUACACAACCUUCCUUUAAGUGGGGGAUAGCCCAGAGAAAUUUGGAUUAAUACCCCGUAAUAUAGUUGAAUGGCAUCAUUUGAUUAUUAUAGCUACGGCGCUUAAUGAUGGGUGUGCGGCUGAUUAGAUAGUUGGCGGGGUAACGGCCCACCAAGUCUACGAUCAGUAGUUGAUGUGCGGGGAUGAUCAGACAGAGGGGCGCGGAGACACGGGCCCGACUCCUACGGGAGGCAGCAGUAAGGAAUAUUGGUCAAUGGACGCAAGUCUGAACCAGCCAUGCCGCGUGAAGGAUUAAGGUCCUCUGGAUUGUAAACUUCUUUUAUUUGGGACGAAAAAGGGCCUUUCUAGGUCAACUGACGGUACCAGAUGAAUAAGCACCGGCUAACUCCGUGCCAGCCGCCGCCGUAAAAC
rnacentral:rRNA from 1 species